GCCCCUGUGGAUCAACGGUAGAUCGUCCUCUCUCAUUUAUCCUGUCUGCUCAGAUUUCUGAGGAAGCUGUGGGUUCGAAUCCCACCGGGGGCA